rnacentral:lncRNA from 1 species
CACUUGAAAAUGGUUAAGUAUAGGUACUUUAAAGGUGAUUUUUGUGUUUUGAAUGUCAGUUGGUAAGUGACUAGGUCACUAGAAAAUGGUUAAGUAUAGGAAUUUUGAAGGUGAUUUUUGUGUUUUGAAUAUGGUUUGUUAGGUGACUAAUUCACUUUGAAAAUGGUUAAGUAUAGGAACUUUAUAGGUGAUUUUUGUGUUUUGAAUAUGGUUUGUUAGGUGAAUUAUUCACUUGAAAAUGGUUAAGUAUAGGGACUUUAAAGGUGAUUUUUGUGUUUUGAAUAAUGGUUUGUUAGGUGACUUAAGUCACUAGAAAAUGGUUAAGUAUAGGGAUUUUGAAGGUGAUUUUUGUGUUUUGAAUAUGGUUUGUUAGGUGACUAAGUCACUAGAAAAUGGUUAAGUAUAGGGAUUUUGAAGGUGAUUUUUGUGUUUUGAAUAUGGUUUGUUAGGUGACUAAGUCACUAGAAAAUGGUUAAGUAUAGGGAUUUUGAAGGUGAUUUUUGUGUUUUGAAUAUGGUUUGUUAGGUGACUAAGUCACUAGAAAAUGGUUAAGUAUAGGGAUUUUGAAGGUGAUUUUUGUGUUUUGAAUAUGGUUUGUUAGGUGACUAAGUCACUAGAAAAUGGUUAAGUAUAGGGAUUUUGAAGGUGAUUUUUGUGUUUUGAAUAUGGUUUGUUAGGUGACUAAGUCACUAGAAAAUGGUUAAGUAUAGGGAUUUUGAAGGUGAUUUUUGUGUUUUGAAUAUGGUUUGUUAGGUGACUAAGUCACUAGAAAAUGGUUAAGUAUAGGGAUUUUGAAGGUGAUUUUUGUGUUUUGAAUAUGGUUUGUUAGGUGACUAAGUCACUAGAAAAUGGUUAAGUAUAGGGAUUUUGAAGGUGAUUUUUGUGUUUUGAAUAUGGUUUGUUAGGUGACUAAGUCACUAGAAAAUGGUUAAGUAUAGGGAUUUUGAAGGUGAUUUUUGUGUUUUGAAUAUGGUUUGUUAGGUGACUAAGUCACUAGAAAAUGGUUAAGUAUAGGGAUUUUGAAGGUGAUUUUUGUGUUUUGAAUAUGGUUUGUUAGGUGACUAAGUCACUAGAAAAUGGUUAAGUAUAGGGAUUUUGAAGGUGAUUUUUGUGUUUUGAAUAUGGUUUGUUAGGUGACUAAGUCACUAGAAAAUGGUUAAGUAUAGGGAUUUUGAAGGUGAUUUUUGUGUUUUGAAUAUGGUUUGUUAGGUGACUAAGUCACUAGAAAAUGGUUAAGUAUAGGGAUUUUGAAGGUGAUUUUUGUGUUUUGAAUAUGGUUUGUUAGGUGACUAAGUCACUAGAAAAUGGUUAAGUAUAGGGAUUUUGAAGGUGAUUUUUGUGUUUUGAAUAUGGUUUGUUAGGUGACUAAGUCACUAGAAAAUGGUUAAGUAUAGGGAUUUUGAAGGUGAUUUUUGUGUUUUGAAUAUGGUUUGUUAGGUGACUAAGUCACUAGAAAAUGGUUAAGUAUAGGGAUUUUGAAGGUGAUUUUUGUGUUUUGAAUAUGGUUUGUUAGGUGACUAAGUCACUAGAAAAUGGUUAAGUAUAGGGAUUUUGAAGGUGAUUUUUGUGUUUUGAAUAUGGUUUGUUAGGUGACUAAGUCACUAGAAAAUGGUUAAGUAUAGGGAUUUUGAAGGUGAUUUUUGUGUUUUGAAUAUGGUUUGUUAGGUGACUAAGUCACUAGAAAAUGGUUAAGUAUAGGGAUUUUGAAGGUGAUUUUUGUGUUUUGAAUAUGGUUUGUUAGGUGACUAAGUCACUAGAAAAUGGUUAAGUAUAGGGAUUUUGAAGGUGAUUUUUGUGUUUUGAAUAUGGUUUGUUAGGUGACUAAGUCACUAGAAAAUGGUUAAGUAUAGGGAUUUUGAAGGUGAUUUUUGUGUUUUGAAUAUGGUUUGUUAGGUGACUAAGUCACUAGAAAAUGGUUAAGUAUAGGGAUUUUGAAGGUGAUUUUUGUGUUUUGAAUAUGGUUUGUUAGGUGACUAAGUCACUAGAAAAUGGUUAAGUAUAGGGAUUUUGAAGGUGAUUUUUGUGUUUUGAAUAUGGUUUGUUAGGUGAAUUAUUCACUUGAAAAUGGUUAAGUAUAGGGACUUUAAAGGUGAUUUUUGUGUUUUGAAUGUGAGUUGGUAAGUGACUAAGUCACUUGAAAAUGGUUAAGUAUGAGUACUUUAAAGGUGAUUUUUGUGUUUUGAAUGUGAGUUGUUAGGUGAAUUAUUCACUUGAAAAUGGUUAAGUAUAUAGACUUUAAAGGUGAUUUUUGUGUUUUGAAUAUGGUUUGUUAGGUGAAUUAUUCACGUGAAAAUAGUUAAGUAAAUGGACUCUAAAGGUGAUUUUUGUGUUUAGAAUUUGUGUUGGUAAGUGACUUAGUCACUAGAAAAUGGUUAAGUAUAGGGAUUUUGAAGGUGAUUUUUGUGUUUGUGAUUUCAUCUAAUUAGUUGUAUCUGAUUGAUUGCGUAG